rnacentral:rRNA from 1 species
GAUGAACGCUGGCGGCGUGCUUAACACAUGCAAGUCGAACGGUGAAGGCGGAGCUUGCUCUGCUGGAUCAGUGGCGAACGGGUGAGUAACACGUGAGCAAUCUGCCCCUGACUCUGGGAUAAGCGCUGGAAACGGCGUCUAAUACUGGAUACGAGCUGCGAAGGCAUCUUCAGCAGCUGGAAAGAACUUCGGUCAGGGAUGAGCUCGCGGCCUAUCAGCUUGUUGGUGAGGUAACGGCUCACCAAGGCGUCGACGGGUAGCCGGCCUGAGAGGGUGACCGGCCACACUGGGACUGAGACACGGCCCAGACUCCUACGGGAGGCAGCAGUGGGGAAUAUUGCACAAUGGGCGAAAGCCUGAUGCAGCAACGCCGCGUGGGGGACGACGGCCUUCGGGUUGUAAACCUCUUUUAGCAGGGAAGAAGCGAAAGUGACGGUACCUGCAGAAAAAGCGCCGGCUAGCUACGUG